GAUGAACGCUGGCGGCGUGCCUAAUACAUGCAAGUCGAGCGAAUAGAUGAGGAGCUUGCUCCUCUGACGUUAGCGGCGGACGGGUGAGUAACACGUGGAUAACCUACCUAUAAGACUGGGAUAACUUCGGGAAACCGGAGCUAAUACCGGAUAAUAUAUUGAACCGCAUGGUUCAAUAGUGAAAGACGGUUUUGCUGUCACUUAUAGAUGGAUCCGCGCCGCAUUAGCUAGUUGGUAAGGUAACGGCUUACCAAGGCAACGAUGCGUAGCCGACCUGAGAGGGUGAUCGGCCACACUGGAACUGAGACACGGUCCAGACUCCUACGGGAGGCAGCAGUAGGGAAUCUUCCGCAAUGGGCGAAAGCCUGACGGAGCAACGCCGCGUGAGUGAUGAAGGUCUUCGGAUCGUAAAACUCUGUUAUUGGGGAAGAACAAAUGUGUAAGUAACUAUGCACGUCUUGACGGUACCUAAUCAGAAAGCCACGGCUAACUACGUG
rnacentral:rRNA from 1 species